rnacentral:rRNA from 1 species
UACAGAGGGUGCGAGCGUUAAUCGGAAUUACUGGGCGUAAAGCGUGCGUAGACGGUCAUGUAAGUCGGGUGUGAAAGCCCCGGGCUCAACCUGGGAAUUGCAUUCGAGACUGCGUGGCUAGGGUGCGGAAGAGGGAAGCGGAAUUUCCGGUGUAGCGGUGAAAUGCGUAGAUAUCGGAAGGAACACCAGUGGCGAAAGCGGCUUCCUGGUCCAGCACCGACGCUCAGGCACGAAAGCGUGGGGAGCAAACAGG